GACAGAGGGUGCAAACGUUGUUCGGAAUUACUGGGCGUAAAGCGCGUGUAGGCUGCUCUGCAGGUCGGAUGUGAAAGCCCUGGGCUCAACCUAGGAAGUGCAUUCGAAACCGCGGAGCUUGAGUCUUGGAGAGGGUCGCGGAAUUCUCGGUGUAGAGGUGAAAUUCGUAGAUAUCGAGAGGAGCACCGGUGGCGAAGGCGGCGACCUGGACAAUGACUGACGCUGAGACGCGAAAGCGUGGGGAGCGAACAGG
rnacentral:rRNA from 1 species